CGCGAGCGAGAUGAAAUGCGCCGGCUAAGCCUGUAGAGACUCCGCCAAGGCGUCCGUGGACGCGGGUUCGAUUCCCGCCGCCUCCACCA
rnacentral:tmRNA from 1 species